rnacentral:rRNA from 1 species
GUGUCAGCCGCCGCGGUAAUACGUAGGGUCCGAGCGUUGUCCGGAUUUAUUGGGCGUAAAGAGCUCGUAGGCGGUUCCGUAAGUCAGAUGUGAAAACUCAGGGCUCAACCCGGAGACGCCAUCUGAUACUGCGGUGACUGGAGUCUGGUAGGGGAACACGGAAUUCCUGGUGUAGCGGUGAAAUGCGCAGAUAUCAGGAGGAACACCGAUGGCGAAGGCAGUGUUCUGGGCCAGUACUGACGCUGAGGAGCGAAAGCGUGGGGAGCAAACAGGAUUAGAUACCCUCGUAGUCC